rnacentral:rRNA from 1 species
UACAGAGGGGGCAAGCGUUGUUCGGAAUUACUGGGCGUAAAGGGCGCGUAGGCGGCCCGCUAAGUCGAACGUGAAAUCCCCGAGCUCAACUCGGGAACUGCGUCCGAUACUGGCGGGCUUGAAUCCGGGAGAGGGAUGCGGAAUUCCAGGUGUAGCGGUGAAAUGCGUAGAUAUCUGGAGGAACACCGGUGGCGAAGGCGGCAUCCUGGACCGGCAUUGACGCUGAGGCGCGAAAGCGUGGGGAGCGAACAGG